AUGGCUGUGCCACUCGCACAUGGCAAUCUUGGCAAAUCUACCAGGGAUCCCUUCACCGAAGCUAUGGACUUGGUGUAAUGAAACUUUAUUUAAAAACAAAAUCUGGAAUUUACAAGUUCGGGUUCAGUCCACACUGAGACCACCAAAGUGAUGGGCAGCCUGGAAACCAAGUACAGAAGCAUUGAGUGUGGUCCGGCAUUUAUGGGGAAAUGGAACACUGACAACAUGUGAGGCACCAAGACUGCCAUGAAGAUCAGCUUGCAUGUGGACUGAAGCUGACCUUCCAUUCAUCUUUCUUACCUAACACUGGGGAAAAAACGUGCUAAAAUCAAGACAGGGUACGAUCGGGAGCCCAUCUGCCUGGGCUGCAACGUGGAUUUGGACAUCACUGGGCCUUUAAUCUGGGGCAUGCUGGUGCCGGGUUAGGAAGGUUGGCUGGCUGGCAACCAAAUGAAUUUUGAGACUGCAGAGUCCUGAGUAACCCAGAGCAACUUUGUGGUUGGCUACAAGACUGAUGAAUUCUAGCUUCACACAUGUGAAUGACAGGACAAGAGUUCAGUGGCUCCAUUUACCAGAAGGUGAACAAGAAAUUGGAGAGCGCUGUCAAUCUCUCCUGGACAGCAGGAAACAAUAACACUCAUUUCAGAAUAGCAGCCAAGUAUCAGAUUGACUCCGAAGACUGCUUUGCAGGUAAAGUGAACACAUCCAACCUGGAGGUGUUUCUACUCCAGUUCAUCAACACCUCUUUUACACCAAGCUGAUAGGUGUAGGAUACACUCACAACCCUAAAGCCAGGUAUCAAACAGACACUGUCAGCUCUCCUGGAUGGCAAGAACAUCAAUGUCAGUGGCCACAAGCUCAGUCUAGGACUGGAUUCAAGCC
rnacentral:lncRNA from 1 species